AGGGUGGCACAGAAUCGGAGGCCCUGACUGUUUACUUAAAACUCAGACAUCUGCAACGAUUAAUUUCUUUGUAUAGGUGUUGAAUUUUGCCCAAUGCCAUUAAUAUAAUUAAAAAUCUGGUCAAUGGCGGUCUUAUCCUGAGGAUCCUAAGGUAGCAAAAUUACUUGUCCAUUAAAUGUGGUCCCGACUGAAUAAAGUAACGAUGGUCUCACUGUCUCUACAAGUAUCUCAGUGAAAUUGAAUUAGCCGUGAAGAUGC
rnacentral:rRNA from 1 species